UACGUAGGGGGCAAGCGUUAUCCGGAUUUACUGGGUGUAAAGGGAGCGUAGACGGUUAAGCAAGUCUGAAGUGAAAGCCCGGGGCUCAACCCCGGUACUGCUUUGGAAACUGUUUGACUUGAGUGCAGGAGAGGUAAGUGGAAUUCCUAGUGUAGCGGUGAAAUGCGUAGAUAUUAGGAGGAACACCAGUGGCGAAGGCGGCUUACUGGACUGUAACUGACGUUGAGGCUCGAAAGCGUGGGGAGCAAACAGG
rnacentral:rRNA from 2 species